AAUCCAGCCAUUGUCAACAACGGAGAUCCCGCUGCAGAUAUCGGUUUUCGCUCCAGGUAUCUACAAUCUCUCUUCGUAUAAACUUACCUGGGAGCUUUCCGGGCGUGAAGAUGCAUCAUCAGGGACAUGCCAAGGCUAUCCUUAUUACCUUACUGUUCUUCAGUCUCAGUGAACUUUCAUAGCUCUCUCUCUCUGUAUUCUGUGUAUCCAUUUUGAUGGUUUACGUCUGAGUUUUCAAUUUUGAUUGUAGCAAAUUGUUGUCAAGAAAUGUUUUUUCGGUAGGAGAAAGAUUAAUUUUACAUUACACCAAAAUUUGAAAAAGGUGGAUCUCAGCUUUACUUUUGUUUGUGGAAUAAAAGGAUUAUAGAUAUUAUCAUUUUAUUUACUUCCAAUCAUUUAUACCUUCUGUUUGAUUCCAAUAAUAUUAAUAUGAAAUUAUUAAUAUUCAGUAAAAAAAUGGGUUCCUCGACAUUCUCAAGUUCAAUAUGACAGACGGGAGAAAAUAAAAUUAGCAUCUCUCAAAUAUAAACUGGUGAUGAUCAUGGUGGCACCAAUAUAUACAUACAUACAAGUUAUAUAUAUAAGGGUAAAAUAAAUGACCUCCAGCUACUUGGAUGGUUAGCUACAACACCACUGACACUAUUAUCGCUACUACAUUGCCUUGUAAAAGGGAAAAUGUAUAUAACUUCAGAGAAUGAAAAUCAUUUAGGAUGAUAUUUUCUGGCUGGACCAAACUCUACCUAUCUGCAACUAUAAGACUCCUCUCCGUCUAGAAGAUGGAUUUGGUGAGUCUUGGUCGCGGUUUUAUGGUGAUGCUUUCAUAUGGCUUAGCUUGUUCAACUUGGAUAUAAUCUCUUGUUUUCAAAACCUGCAACAUUGGCAAAUAAUAAAAGACAGAUUCAACAAGAUGAUCAAGUUUAUGAAGACCAAACUUGUUCUUCCGUCUUAAAAAGACAAGUUGUGAUUGAUGCACUAAAGCCGAGAGUACACACCUAACUUAGACAUGCUUACACCUAAACAUCCUAACAAUCCAGUAGGAAAACAGACAAAUUAAUCUGGAGUUGCAGCAUAAAACCAAAACAUGUAAGAUUCUAUGUGUAUUUAUCAAUUACUGGUCAAGUUUGUUUUCUCGAGAGAAAGAUCAGAGCUUUUUUUUUUUUUGUUUAGGGUCGUAUUAUGAACAUACCAGGGUUUCAAAAAACAUUCUCGAUGCUUCUUUACGGGUUUUCCCAGCUAAAAGUUUGUCCGCUACAACAACACUCUUCCCAUUCUCAGCUUCUUUAUCAAAUAUUGUCUGGAGAUACUUCGCCACAGCCCUAUAAUAAAAGAGAAUAAUAGUCUUCAGUGUUUCAGGCUCAUCAUGUUUCUUACAUGAUAGUCUGUGCAAAAAAAUGAUUCUGUACGGACCUGGUACGAGAAGACCAACCACUGUUCUCUAGAAGACGAGUUUCAUCACCUUCUUGCAUACCAUCGUCUUCUUCAUGAUCUUCAUCAUCAUCCACAUUCAAAAAUCCUGAAAACACAGAGUGAAAUCAAUUAUAAGUAGAACCACUGAGACAUCAUGGAUAUAACAGCAUCUCACAAAUCUAAAUCAUGCUAUGAUGACCAAGUAUUAGUCCCAUUGCUUAAACUGAGAACGUACAGAUAAUUUGUACAAUUAAAAUUCGUAAAAGGUUUAGAACCUGUGUCAUGUGCCACUUCCAUUGUAUCCAUUUCCUAAAGCAUAAGAGAAUAACACAAGAAGAACUUAAGAGGCAUGUCUUUACUUGAAUAAGGAUAUGAAACCACAAUGAAACAAAACUUACGUCGUUAUCUCUCAUAAAACCAUCGCGAGAAGUAGGAUCUUCAUCUGGUGCACUUUGCAUAUUAGUAGCCUCCUCAUUAAACACAUCAUUAUGCGGUUCGUAGUUGUUAUCAGGCUCUGUCUCUGGAUUCACCCCAUCAUAUUUUGCUUCCACAAUUGGUUCGUUGAGACUUUCCAAAGCCAAAUCACCAGCUUCUACGUGUCCAUUUUCAAUAUAGCCAAUUGUGAUAUCACAUUGAGUCUGGUUGUCUACACCAAUCUCGCAGACUUCAGCUGAUGCAUCCGUCUUCUUAUCAUGUGGAAGCUCAUCUUCAACCUUCAAGUCUGUCUCAUUGAGAAUGGCGUUGUGAUCAACAUCACCUUCAGUAAUUUCGAUAACACAAACAUCUUCACCGCCUACACCUCCAUCAUGGUAUCCUUCCACCUGUAAAUCCUCUAUUCCCUCUACAUGAUCGACUUUGUCCUCGGCUGGCAUUUGACCGAUCUCGUCAUUCACUACAAGACUUACUUCAUCAGCAGCAGCUCCAUCGCCUUCUUUUGGAACUUCUAACUCACAUGCUGUUUCACCAAGCUCGUUAUCGUCUUUCACUUCUUCUUCUUCCUGUUGGUCUAUGUUUUGUUGGUCCUCUGGGUGAGUAAGAGCCUCAGCAGGUUGCUCUUCAGAACCAUCAGGGCGAGUUUGAGGAGCAGAACAUUCAUUAUCUUCCACCGCUCCAACAGAAGCAUGACGGUCAUCAUUCUCAAUUAUCGUGAUUCCUAGUGAUCUAAAAGAAGUGAUUCUUAAAAUUUAGCAAGAAAUGAGUAUUGUAAUAGCUAAGACAUUGCCGUGACAGAAUACUGUGCAUUGAUUGUGCAUAUCAAUCAUCCUAGCGAAUACUCAUCUCAUGUCCGAUUCGAAUAGACACUUCUGGAUCAUUUGAUUCACUUUCCUAUUGCUAUAUGACUUCCCUCGUAUCCUUCUUUGUUUGAAUAGCCAAAAAAACAUCUUACGAUUAGUUAUUUUUCCUUCUUUUCCUAUUUUUCUUUCACUGCAAAAUUGAGCUCCUAUUUACCGAUGUUGGUGACUCAUUCAGUUUUAGCACCCUCUACACGAAAGUCAGUGUCACAGGUGUUCUUAUGGAUUCUGGAGCUAUACCGAUUUUAUUAGUUACCUGGUGAGAGCCAUGUUCAAGUGAUGAAAUCGUUCUACGAUUUUGUCAAAAGCCAGUAAGGAAUUUCUUAGACUCUUUUUUUUUUGUGAACUUUCUUAUGCCUGUGUCAACAUUUGAUUUUUGAUUAUUUAUUCUGAUUAUUUAUUUCUGAUGAUAGGGUGAGGAUUGGGGUUCAGGGGUACAACAUGUCGUCGCUUCAGCCCCUUGACCUCGUUAGAUCAUUGUCUAAGCUGUCUGGGUCAUGUGGAUAAAUUUUAAAAGUGCAAGUUCCGAGAGUUCGCAAUGCAAUUAGCGGCGGCUUUACCGUUUUUGUUCUCCGCGGAGAAGCUGCAGAAGAAAAAGCAUUGGCACUUGAUGGAACCGAUAUGGAGGAUGGAUCUUAUCUGCUACAGUUUUACCGCCAGAACUCAGCAAGCUUAGUUCUGGUUUGAGUACUGCUGAGUUGGCUGCUAGGCAUGUUGCCCAUUUCCAAAGAAAAAAGUAAAAUUUUAUAUUCAUGCUUUUUUUCUCUUUACAUUGGGUUUGUUUGUAAUUUGCUGACAAAUUAACUAUUGAAUUACAGGAGCCGAGGCAUUUCUGUUACUGGAUAUGACCCUUCGCUCCAUGUAGAUGUUGUUAAGAGUGAUUUGACUAACCGCUUUUCUUCAUGUGGAAAGAUCACUGAUGUUUUUGUUCUUAAGAGGUUUGUUAUUUCUUCUUUACAAACCAUUUGUGAAUUGUUUUUUUCCCUCCAUCUAACCUUUUUUUUUCUUUUGCAGCCGGGCUUUGAUCUAUCUCUUCGGAAUAGGCGCAGUAGAUAUGGCGUUGAGACUAUGUCGGAGAGGUGACUCGGUACUCCGUGCUAAAGCCUUGCCAAAUCCUAAAAGGAAAAUUAACCAUUACAGGGCGUAGACGCGUAGUACAAAUCUCUCUGUUUUUGAAUAUUGUAUUUUAUAAUAUUGAAUUUUGAAUGGUAACUAAUCAUAGGAACAUUAGGAAUAUAUAAAAAAAAUAAUGAGUAGGAAUAAAAUUUUGAAAAUAAUAUCAAAAUUAACGAGGAACAAAAUUAUUCUAUAAUUUUCUACAAAAUUAACAAAAUGGCGUUUGUUUAAACCCAUGUAAACCAAGAGGCAAGAGUCAUGUUUUCUAGUAUAAACCGGAAAGAGAGUAAAGUGAAAACUACCCGAAUAAAAAACACUGAAAAUUGAAAUGCAAACCAAGAGUCAAGAGUCGUGGUUUGUAGUAAACCGGAAAGAGAGUAAAGUGAAAAACCUCACACAAGAGGAAAGAAUCAUUUCUUGGUCUCGCGGCGCUUCUAACAUUUCUUCUGUGUCUCUCAAGAAGAUGGGAUUCCUCUCUCAACAGAUCUCAAGAGAUGAACUCAAACCAGGAGAUCACAUCUAUUCAUGGCGUAUGGCUUACAUAUACUCUCAUCACGGUUCAGUCUCUUUCCCUUCCAUCUAUCUCUAUGUAGCUACAUUGCAUUUAACACUCCUUCAGUUUCUGUUCAGACAAUUCUCGCUGGAUCUUAGCUUUUUAUGUUCCUGUCUUAGAAUAAAUGACGAUCCUUUCUAUGUUUGCAACUUGUAGGAAUCUAUGUAGGCAAUGGUGACGUCAUACAUUUCACUUGCGGAGGUGGUCUUGAGACAAGGACAGGGACUUUCGUAGACAACAUCAUCGUUAGUUCGGUUCCAAACCAUGGAGGUGACAACCCUUGUCCUAACUGCGGAGACCAAUCGAAUCUCGACGGUGUGAUCUGUUCUUGCCUCGACUGUUUCCUCGCCGGAGGAAACCUCUAUCUCUUCGAGUACGGUGUCUCUGGACCCAUCUUUAUGGCUAAACCGCGAGGCGGUAUCUGCACAACAGCGGUUUCAGACUCCUCUGAUGAAACCGUUAACCGUGCGAGACACCUCUUGUCUAAUAAAAAUGGGUUUGGUGCGUAUGAUCUGUUGAGGAACAACUGUGAAGACUUUGCGAUCUAUUGCAAAACUGGUUUGAUUGUUUUGUCUAAGCUGGGGAGUAGUGGACAGGCUAACUCGUGGUCUGCGGUGCGUGGUGUUUUGUCGCUUUGGGGGACGGUGAAGAGUGUUUCUGUGGGCUCUGCUGCGAGGUUGGUUGUUUCUGGGGUUGCUGGUGUUGGUGUUGUGACUUUGGCGGCGGGGUAUGGUAACUACUGCUAUGGUCGUUUAUGUGCUGAUAUUGGUGUGAGAAGUGAUGCUAGCAAAGUUCCUGUGGAAGACCUUGUUACGCUUAUAGCGAUUAUCGAAAGAAGAGACGACAAGAAGUCUAGCUAGUUUAGCACUUGUUGUGGUGUGAUUAUGAUUGUGAUUGUGAUUGUGAUUGUGAGUGUUUGAUGGUAACUAACUGUUUGCUUCUGUUUUCAUUGUAUGCGUGCAACCAUGUGUGUUUGACACUACUUAUCAUGUGAAAAUAACAUUAUUGUUGUUUCCAAAGUAUUGGUUUACUUUGGAAGAAUGUUGAAACAAAACAAUAAACAAACACAAGUGGAUGACGAAUAGUGUUUGAUCACCUACCUACCAUUAGUUUGGCUCCUUGGUUGAUUUGGAAUUUAGUGUUAGUGUUACACUAGUCAUCAUCAGUAAAACAAUAACUAAACAAAGCUGUCCACACGAGAAGGUUUUCUGAUCAUAACCCAUUACAAUCACACAAGAAUACAACAUGCUUUUGUCUCUAUAUCUUCUUCACCACCUUGUUUAUCUGGCUGAAUAUACACGCACUGGUGUCUUUUUCUGAGUUAUCAAUAACUAAUAACUCACCAAGUUGUUAUUGUGGAUCAUAGAAUCGGCUACUUCUACUUUUGCUGAAUCGUGGAACUCUCUCUUUGUUAUUAUACAAUAAAAACACUAUAAAUAAUUAUUAUUUUUUUUAAACUUAUUUUAGAUUAUAUUUGUAAAACAUUUUAUUUUCAGUUUUUAUUUAAAAAAAGAAAUUUUAAUUUCAAGAUGUUAUAGAGUAAUCAAACUUUUUAGAUUUGAAAUCUUUUUUUUAAUUAGAUUAUUUGAUAAAUUUUACGUAUUGAAAUUAUAUAUCCUAGAAUAUUAAUGUAUUUUAGAUGUAAAAAUAAUAUUAAAAUACUAAAUUGCAAAGAGAAAUUAUAGAUAAAUUUAUAUUCAUGUAACUUUAUAAAAAAAUUAUAUAGCAUUAUUAAUUUAUAAUUUAUCUAACUCAAAAUCAUAAAUGUUUAUUAAUUUCUAGAGUUUCUCCUAAAUAUUUAUGCAAAUCACCUUUACCGGGGAUAAAUUGAUUCUUAAAUUCAAUUUGACCUUUUGACUUUUUCCUUAUCCAGCUAAGCCAAUACAAAACCAGUUGACUUUAAAGGUUUGGUUUUUUUAAACCAACAAUCUUGGAAAAAACUCUAGAGAACCCCCAUUGAUCUAGCCAGAGAUGGAAUCCAUUCUUCUAGAGAAGAUAGGAUUAUUCUCCAACAAGAUCUCUAAAGACGAUCUGAAACCAGGAGACCACAUCUAUUCAUGGCGUAACGCUUAUAUCUAUUCUCAUCACGGUAACCCAUCUCCUUCUCUCUCUUCUGGGUUUAUCAAAGAUCCAAACUUUAUGUUUGCAAUCUCACAGGAAUCUACAUAGGAGACGGAAAGGUCAUUCAUUUCACACGUGGAGGCGGUCUUGAAAUCGGAACGGGAACUUUUUUGGACAAGCUCAUCGUCAGCUCUAUUACCAAUCACGGAGGAGACAACCCUUGUCCUAACUGUGGAGGAAAGCAAUCCAACACGCAUGGAGUUAUCUCUUCUUGUCUCGAUUGCUUUCUCUCCGGAGGAGAUCUCCUUCGCUUCGAGUACAGUGUCUCUCCGGCUCUGUUCAUGUCCAAGCUCCGAGGCGGUACCUGCACGACGGCGGCUUCGGAUCCUUCGGAGGAAGUGAUCUCUCGUGCGGAGUUUCUUUUGCUGAGAAAUGGGUUUGGUGAGUACCAUGUGUUCGAGAAUAACUGUGAGGAUUUUGCGAUGUACUGUAAGACGGGUUUGGUGGUGGGGAGAAGCUAUGUGCUUGGGAGAAGCGGCCAGGCUAACUCGGUGAGUGCGGCUGCGUGUGUUGCGCGUAUGGUUAGUCCUUGGGCUAGUAAUGCUAUACGUCUCUGUUCGGAUGUUGGUAUGCGGAGUGAUGCUGUUAAAGUGCCUGUGGAGAGUCUCGUUGCUCGGUUUAAUCAGGCUGAUACAUUGGCAAAGGAGAGCUGAGUUUGGUUUGGUUCUGAUUGUGUGCAAUGUGUGUAUUUGAUUGUUGGUUAAUGCCAGAUUGAAUCUGCUUCUAAAUUCUUUGAAUUGUGUAACUCUAUUGUAAUGAUGUGUGAAUACAGUUUAAUUGAGAUCUUCAUUGUUUGUGUUGUGUAAAAAAGUAAACGCGUAAAGAAAGAGAUGUGGUUGAUUCUUUACUCGUUAUAACCACGCUUGAGACUGUCUUAUUUUUGCGUAAUCAAGAAGAAAACACGGUUUCUAAAUUAAAUUUAAGUUGAUUACUGGUUGGUUAAACUGUUCAAUUCGCAAGACCAUAAGAGUUGGAACUGUAAGCCGUGAUGACUAAUAGGUUCAGGCAUGAGGCGUAACAACACCAGCUUCUGGUCUAGAGAAAACCGUUGUUGACUCGUAGCUGAGAAAGACGGGAGAGAACAUUCAGUUCUCGGUUCGGUUUGAUUGUUCUUAAUAAAAUUUAAAGUGUGGUCUGAUUCGGUUUGCUUCUUAUUUUUGUUAUAAAAUUUUUGAGUCAAUACCGGUUUAAUUCAUCUAAUGCUUCGGUUCGAUUAGACUCGGUUUAUAUACGAGAAGACGAGGAGAGUCGAGACCACACCAGUAUAGAGAGAGAGGGGAGAGACUCUUGAUUGACUCAACAACACCUCCUUGAGAAGACGAUGAGCUCGAAGAAGGGGGAUUAGCGAAUCUCGAUAGAUAUAAAUCAUAAUCUCCAAUUUCUCAAUCCCAUUUUCAUUUUGUUCAUCGUGAAAUCAUGUCUUGGCUCCCUGUAGAAUCUGAUCCUGGUAAAUCUUUUUUUUUUUUCUAUCCAAUUUGGGGUUUAUUGUCUAAUAGCUCCUUAUUGUUCUCAGCUUCUUCAAAUAUACAUCAAGGAUUGGUCAUGUUAUAUACUAAGUAGAUAGUGUCUGUGUAAGCUAUAUUGUUUGUUGUUAUUCAUAAUGUUUAGGUGUUUUCACGGAGAUUAUACAACAAAUGCAAGUGAAAGGUGUGCAGGUUGAAGAGUUGUAUUCCUUGGACAUUACUUCUCUUGAUGAAAUAAGGUUUGUUCACACUCUUUUGUUGCUUCUUGUUUCCAACAAAACUCAGUCAAUAAUACUGUUGGGUUCUUCUUUGUUUAGUCCUGUUUACGGAUUGGUAUUGCUUUACAAGUGGCGUCCUGAGGAAAAGGAGUCUCGUGUUGUCAUCACUGAACCAAACCCAAACUUCUUCUUUGCCAGCCAGGUCCCACUCUCUCCCCCCACAUUUAGUUUUUUUUUUCAACUCUUUGGGAAUGUUAUAACUCUAUGUGUGUUCUCUUGUAGAUAAUCAACAAUGCUUGUGCUACACAAGCCUUACUGUCUGUCCUCAUGAACUCUUCGGGUAUCGAGAUCGGUUCUGAACUGUCUGAACUGAAAGAGUUCGCUAAAGACUUCCCACCUGAGCUCAAAGGUUUAGCCAUCAGCAACAACGAGGCGAUACGUGCAGCUCACAACACCUUUGCUAGGCCUGACUCAUCUUCCACCACCACGGACGAGGAUGAGAUAGCUGCUCGGAGGAAGAAAAAGGAAGAGGAAGAUGAUGAUGUGUAUCAUUACAUCAGCUACUUACCCGUCGAUGGUAUCUUAUACGAGCUCGAUGGUCUUAAAGAAGGACCCAUCAGCCUUGGACAAUGUCUCGGUGAGCCAGACGGAAUCGAGUGGCUCAAAAUGGUCCAACCUGUGGUGCAAGAGAGGAUUGACCGGUAUCUCCAGAACGAGAUUCGGUUUAGUCUCUUGGCUGUGGUUAAGAACAGGAAAGAGAUGUACCGAGCUGAGCUGAAAGAGUAUCAGAUGAAGCGGGAGAGGAUUUUGCAGCAGGUGGGUGCACUGCAAGCUGAUAAGUACACUGAGAAGAGCAGCUACGAGGCUCUGGAUAAGUCUCUUUCUGAAGUCAACGUCGGGAUCGAGACAGUGUCGCAGAAGAUUGUAAUGGAGGAAGAGAGGGCCAAGAACUGGAAGAAAGAGAACUUGAGGAGGAAACAUAACUAUGUCCCUUUCCUCUUCAACUUCCUCAAGAUUCUUGCAGACAAGAAGAAGCUCAAGCCUCUCAUUGAGAAAGCUAGACGUUAAUACCUUAAUCAGUUUUUUUUGCAAUGAUAUUAAAACUUUAUAUGUAUGAGGGUUUGAUUGUAUUCAGUCUGAGGAUUUUUGUAGAACCAAAUCUCUUAAUUACAUGAAACAAUAAAUCAAACAGAGUUACAAAACUUGUUCUCUUCUUUAAUGUAAAAACUUCUAUAAUGGCAGAUAUCUCAACUGCUGCAAUCAUCAUCGGUUUAGACUCACAAAACCGAAGAUCGUCAUAUCAUCACUCGUACCUGGUGGUUGUGAAAGAAGAGAGUAAACCGGCUGCUUGAGAUGGUAUUAUAUCCCCAAAUGUCGACAUAGCGGCUGCUGAUCUAUCCUUGAAUAUUCCAACUUGUCCGUCACUUAGUAUUGACCCAAAUCUACUACCAGCCUGAAACAUAUAUUACAUGAUCUUACGAUAUUGAACAGAUUAUGAAAAAAUAUUGAGCCACUGAUCAACCGAGGAGACUAGACUGUACCUGCAUGAAAGACUUUAAGAACGGGGAAGCCACGCCGAAACUGGAGUCAUCUUCCAAAUCACUUGUUUGAGAAAGCUCGCCAUUUGUAAAUGCAUUCCAUGAGUUUCUUGACGAACUUUCAUUUGAUGUAACUGGAGUGGAGACCUUAUUUGUACUUCUAGAGGACAGAGCCGGAGCGCUGAAUUAACCGGAUAUGAGAAACCAUUUUUCCCACAAGGCUACAAAUAGUUUCAGGUGUGGAAGAAGAAAAGCUUACCUUAUGGGAAGGUAUUUGAAGCGGGGAACUGUGGAGCAUGGCAUGAUAUUUGACUCUGAGUUACUUGGUAGUUUCUGGGAAGUAUCUGUGUACAUUCGGUUUAGUUGCACAAAGAAUCCAAAUAGUACUGCGUGGCGUAGGUAUGACUGCUUUUCGUUCUCCCAAAGAUAAGGCUCGUACCUUUUUUAGACAUUUCAAAACACAAGCAUCAGAGAAUGAUUGAGACAAUAAACGAUAAGAUGAGAUGAUUCCCAUGAACUUGUUAGUAAAGAUGUGCUUGGUCAUAGUUUAGGGAUAAGGUUCCUUACGUGAGCCAGUCUAUAGGAUCCAACUUUUGGGUCAGUUGGGAGAUUACUCCAUCAAUGCGACCUCUGUUGACUGACUUUGUUUGCUGUUGGCCCUGCUUUCGCCUGAAAGCUGAUCUGUUCAUUGUGAUCUUUGGUUGUAUCUCCACAUUGGUGCUUGUAUCACCCCCAGAAAGAAUGUCCGAUGCAAAUCUCAAAUCCAGUAAAAUUUGUAAAACCCCCUUCUCUGAAAUUUGGGGUUCGUUGGCCUCCCUGGCAGAUAAGAAAUCCUCAUAAAUAAUGAUGAUCUGCGUUGUACAAGAGAAAUUGAAAAAAAAAAUCAUUUUAUAAGCAAUCACUAGCUUGGAGAUAUUUACUGAUGAAAGUGAAUAAGUGUGUAUAGGAGAAUAAUUAUAACGAACAUUUUGAAGAGAAAAUCGUUCCCUUGGCAGAAACAUUUCUGCAGCAUGUAGAAAAUAAUCAUAGGAAAAGGAAGUAAACAGAGACAACGCACCUUCUCCAACAGGCUUGAAGCAAACUUUUGCAAAAUUGACUUAUCCAGUACAUGGCCUCCAAUUCGAUGGAUCUCUUCUGAUGCUCGACAAAGAAAUGAAAUUAUAUAGAGCGAAGGCAAGGACGGAAGUGAUAUCUUCAACUCACUCUCGCCCUGCUCUUCCUUGACUAUUGUCUCUUCCCACCCCUGCAUUAUCACUUCAAAGAGUCAGUAAUUUCCAAAAACAAAGAGAGUGAACAACUAACUAACUAUGUACAUUUUUCAGAAUAUCUAAUAUCAAUGCAAAACAGCUAAGAAGAAAGGAUAAGGAUCGUUUUUAGUUACCCUUAAAGGAGUUGUAGCAGACAGUCCAUCGUCAAUCGUAAGAUCACGCAAGAAAAUAGCGGAGAGCUCUUCCGAUAACCACUGUAUCCACAAUGUAUGAGCCUUAAUGCACAGAUCACGCAUAGUUUUAUUAAGCUCUUCAAAUUUCGGACUUGUCUUCUCAUCUGCCUUAAGUAGCGCGGCAACAGCUAACGAACUCUGCUUCCUAAGAUCGGCAUGCAACUGCUUUCCCGGGCUGUCAGCAGCACCUGGAGUAUUCGAGCCAAAUCUUGGUUGCCUCAACAAGGAUGACAACUUAUCAGAAACUGCAUUCAUAGUUUCUCUACACCACAAUCUUGGAGAACCGAGAAUCAAGGGAACGUGUUUCGAGUGGUUCAGCAAUGCAAACAAGAGGCGUCCCAUAAAAAGAGAUUUCUCAAUUAUUAUAGCAGGUGGAAUUGCUUCGCUGUCGUUGUUCCCUUUCUUCAUGGCAGCACAGAGAGAUUCGAGUUCCUUAUCCACAUCUGCGAGAAUUGCUGAGACACUGUCAUAACAUUUAUUCUGCACGUAUGGAGCAAGAUCCUUUAACCUCGGACCUGCCUUUUCUGAAUCAAAGAAGCUUAGGAGGUCUUCUAAAACAUUCUGGCAGCGGUGAUCAACUGCAUCUCUGAUUUGGCUAACUUCAGGACCAAAGUACGCCGUUAGACAACUUUGGAAGUCGCUUUCUUCAGGUGACGUUUUGUUUCCGGCAAUAAAACCAGGUUUCCUAGCGUUAGGCUCGAUGAACCAGACACCACCACCUGUAGAAGGUCUGUUUAAGUAUGCUUGGAAGUUGAUCUUCUCAUCAGUGAUCUCGCUAAAAGCACGAACCGACUCUGCCACAUUGACAGCUUUAGCCAAUUCCUCAAAUCUAGAGUCAAUAAUGCAUUUCAUUCUUUCCACAAAGGCCUCCUCAAAUAUUUCAUCCCACAGGUUCAAAUCGUCGUCCAGAACAAGCUCCCGGAUUCUAUUCCAAGGUAGCUCUAUCUCAGACCCAAAAACACUUUUAAGCCAAUCUAAACUACCACUCAAUACCUCUUUACUAUCCAUGGUCUCCCUUAUCAACUUUUCCGCUGAUCCAAGCUCUGCACCAGUAACAAUAGCUUCAAUCAAACGCUUCCCACUAACCUUACCAACAAUAUGUCCACCGCAUUCCCUCAACCAUGCCAGACACGCCUUAGAAAUAUCAACUUUCUCAAAAAUAACCAUAACAGAUUCCAAAUUAUCUCUAAACAAUUUCCACAACGCAACCUCCUCUUUCGGAUUCGGAAUCCCACCAAACAGCUGAGAAGCCGGAGGUGUACUCAAAAUCGUCUUAUAAAACAGAGGCAUAUCAGUCAACGCUUGCAAAAAAAGCUCACCAACUUGUCCCACAGUAACCUGAACCACACUCAACACAUCACAAAACACCGAAACAACACUCCCAGCAUCAUCACCACUACAAGCAUUCAACUUUUGCAGAACCCAAGUCUUCCUCGAGUCGAGAAACAACUCAAGAACCUCCUUCGGAUCAAGCUCAUCAACCACUGCUACAGCAGUUAACGCGUCCACGUAAUCCCCCAACCCCAAACCCGGAUCAAGAAGCCGUUCGUGGCUCCUCUGAGAAAUCUGAGCCUUGAAGCCCUCCACUAUCUGCCACUGAUGCUCAAGCAACGGAAAAUUAGCCAACAGUUUACUCUGAUCCACCUCCUCCAACUUAACAAGUCUCUGCUGCACGUGCUGAGCACGCAUGUACCUCCCAGCAGCUUCUAGAAACAUGGACUCGUCGAGGCAGCCCCAUAUAUUCUCCGGAGUAUCCACCAGAUACUUGACCCGACACGCGAUCCCAUACACAUUGACUCGGGCCGGGUCAGUGAUAGCGAGCGCGGGGGUUUUCGCUUCCGACGAGGAGGAGAGCGAUCGAAUGUUGCCGUGGAUCGAGCUGAUGUUCGCCGAGAUCGACUCGCAGAGCGACUUCAUGUGAACGAUCGAGUCAGCCGAGUCGAUUAGAUCUCGGUACCGAGUCCCGACGAGUUGCCGGAGCUCCUCCUUCUUGUCCUCGAUGUUCUUCCUAGUCGCCGACUCAACGCUACGGAUCUCCGACAUCGGUUUGGUGCGGAGGAGGGACUCAGCGUCUCUUUGACCGCUGCUUCCGAGCGAAACGGCGGCAGAAGCCGAUGACAUUCUCAUGGUUUGUUUUUCUCCGGCGUGUUCUCUCUAGAUUCUAGCAAUGCAUUCCACUGAGUUGAAGGAGGAGAGAAACGGAGCGGAUCUGAUCGGAUCUAGAGAUGCUUUUGCUCGGAUUCUGAAGUAGAUUCCCGGAAUCAAGAUCUAGUUUUGUAGUUUCUGUGCACUGAGUUUCUGCCAUUGCUGUGGAACGAACACGACGAGAGAUUAAGCGUUUUAACAAAUUACAUAUUUACCCCGGUUUGGGUUUCGCAGUAGAAGAAUUCUAAUCGGAAGCUAACCGGUCCGGUUUGGUAAGUCAUAGCAAGGAUCAUUAAAUCUGGGGACUAUUGUAAUGUUUACCAUAAUAAAGGGGCAAUUAGAUAAAUUAAAUAAAUAAAUUAAUGGAUGAAAUUGUUAUUGUUCUUCUUCUCCAAUAGACUUUUGCCUGCAUCUCUUCGCCGAUCACGAUCCCUCCAUCUCCGGUGAUUUCCACCGUAAACUGAUACGGUAUUUCGUUUUACUGUAUCAUAAACGUUGCAUCUCCCCGUAUUUCACAUUCCGUCAUUUACAUAGAUCUUCAAACCUAUCUAUCUCCAUCAACUCCGGCGGCUGCCGACGACGGCGUUUUAGCUCUGAUUGGCUCGAAGAGAGGAGAUCUCUAAGUAUUGCUUCCCACCGUCUCCGAAAUCUACCCGAUCCGACAUCGGAUUGGAGUGAAUUUUGACUUACAGUGAAGAGAUUUUGAGAGAAUGGUGGAGCCGGUGAACUCAUCGCUUGGGAAAAUGCUCUUGGAAGAGAUCAGUCCAGUUGUCAUGGUACUCUGCACGCCUCUUGUUGAAGAGACUUUCCUCAAGAAUGGACUAUCCUUUGUGGAAACGCUGAAGCCAUUCUGCAACUUCAGUAAUAUCGAUGGUGAUGAUAGACUUUGAUUCUUUUAUUCGUUUUCAAAGGUUUACUUCACCAACCGUUUAAACCGAGGUUUUGAUUUCUUGUGCAGUUCCUGUUAGGACCUCAGGCGAUCAGCUUUAUCGGCUGAAGAAGUUUACGCUCAGAUUGUUUAAUGCCUCAGAUAUCAAACAACCAAACGUGGAGGUAUGUAAAGCUUCUUGCUUUCUUACCUAGAACGCAACGUGGAAGAGGAUUGUUUUGUGUUAGGUGUAUGGUUGUAUUAGAAGGCUCCUCCAUUCUGCAUCUUUGGUUGAGCUUCAAAAUUGAUUAUGUUUACUUAAUGGCUAGGUUGCAAAGCAACGGCUAGAACAUGUUAUCACUGAAGCUGGGGAGAAGGUUUUUGACGAUUUGAAAUCUGAUCCUCCUCAAAUUACUGAUAUACUCUCUAGUAAGUAUCUCUAUUCAAUAUUAUGCCUUUUAAGAGAUUUUUUUCUUAUCAUACCGGGUUGCUUUUCUAAUGCUGAUGUCUUUCCGUUACUGCAGAUCCAGAGUCUGAAAUUGCACCCACAUGGUUUCAGUAUUACAAUAAGGAACUUAUCCGUACACUGUCCUUUUCAGACCAUGAGGCUUUUGAUCAUCCUGUGGCUUGUAAGACAUUAUAGAAAAUCCAAAAUUGUUGUUGUUGGCUUCAUGCUUUAAACUAGGUUUGCUAAUAGACUUUUCUGUUGCGUACGGAACAAUUCUAAAUGUGUUAUUCAGGUCUCUUGGUCGUUUCAUCAAAAGACGAUCAACCUGUAAAUAAAUUUGUAGAUCUUUUCAACACCAAUAGAUUACCUUCUUUGCUUAAUGAUGGUGUAAUGGACCCAAAGAUUUUGAAGCAUUACCUGUUGGUGCAUGACAAUCAGGAUGCCACAACAGAGAGGUAACUGUUCCUUACUACAUAGUAUAUUAUAUGAUUCUCAUUAUAACUAUAUGGCUGUCAAAUGUAAGGCUUUAGUUGACGGGAUGUAAUUUCUUCUGUAGAACGUCUAAAGUUCUGUCUGAGAUGAGAAGUACAUUUGGAAACAAUGAGUGCAACUUACUUUGCACUAAUUCAUCUAAAGAGGGGAACGUGGAACAUCAGGCUAAUCCAUGGGCUUCAUUUGUAAGCCUCUCAUCAGUAUUUUAUCCAACAUAUUGCUCAUGAUUCAUAUAUCAAUCCAUGUUUUUGUAAGUUCAACAUUUUAAUUAUUUUUUUUUUCUGAAAGAAAUCAAGUGUUUCGGCCGACAAACUUGGAUGUGCUCUCACUGGCGACGAUAUCGUGGAGGUAACAUUCGCUUUCUGAUGAUAUUCACGCCUUUCGAAUAUUUUGGAAUGUUUUAACCAACACUAUUAGUUCUCCUCGUAUAUUCGAGGUAGAUCAAAGAUCUGAUGCAAGAGUUUGCAUCGAGGCAUAUAAUUCCUUACAUGGAACAGAAAGUUCGAGAUCUUAAUCAACAGGUUAGCUUUAGAUUUUCUAAAAAGUUAAUCGUGGGAACAUGCUUUACGUUUUCUGUAUGCUUUACUUUGUUCUUUUUUUUCUCUUUCCAUAUCAUUUAGUUUGCAUUUUGCUGUGUCACUAGAUUUCUGCAACAAGGAAAGGACUUAGAAACCAAAUAAAAAACUUAUGGUGGAGAAAAGGAAAAGACGAUGUUCCGGAUUCAACCAAAGGUUCUAUGUAUGCUUUCUUGAAAUUUUUGCUCCUUUAAUGUUUUCCUUGACGUCAUCAUAAGCUCUUACUAUUUUUUUUUUCAUUUUUGAAGGUAUACAUUUAGCUCCACUGAAUCUCAAAUUAGAAUUUUGGGUGACUACGCCUUCAUGUUGCAUGAUUAUGAACUUGCAUUGUCAAGCUAUCGCUUAAUAUCAACCGAUUACAAGCUCGAUAAAGCUUGGAAGCACUAUGCUGGUGUUCAGGUAGCUUCACAGCUUUAUGAUUGUGUUUCUAUGUAGGUAUUCAGGUGGCAUUAUUUUUAAUCAAUACUCGUUUUAUAUAUAUUUAAUCUAACAUAUAGUAUAGGUUAGCCCAUCAGGCCGAUUGUUUUGGUCUUUAUUUUCCAUUGCUCGUUACUUGUGGUCGCUUCAAUAACUCAUCUUCUCAUGUAUGCUUGGGAAGGAAAUGAUGGGACUUGCAUAUUUCAUCUCAGACCAGUCAAAAAAGGAAGCUGAGUACUGCAUGGAAAAUGCAUUCAGCACUUAUCUGGUAUGUUUUAUAACCCACCUAAAACAGUUCUUUCAGUGAAUGUCUCUCGGUUACUUGAAUUAGUUUUUAUCAUAAGCAAAACUUGAAACUGAAAUAGUAAUGGUUUAACUUGAGCAAGUGACGCGGUAGUACAUGCUGUAACAUGUCCUUGUAAUCUCAUGCAGAAGCUUGGGAGGUCUGGCUUUCAAAAUGCUACGAGAUGUGGGCUCUGGUGGGCAGAGAUGCUAAAAGCUGGAGACCAGUACAAAGAAGCUGCUUCUGCUUACUUCCGCAUAUGUGGAGAGGUGCUUCUUUUAUGCCUCAGAACAUAUGCACUUUAUACCAUUUCUAACUUUAUUAUUUUUUCAGGAACCAUUACACGCCGCAGUCAUGUUAGAGCAAGCUUCUUACUGCUUCGUGUUAACUAAGCCCGCGAUGUUAAACAAGUAUGGAUUUCACUUAGUUCUCUCAGGAGACCACUAUAAAAACUGUGAUCAGGUACAUGUAAUUUUGUUGAAAGGGAUCAAGCUUCGUACAUGCUUUGCAUUCUAAAGAAUACAGUUUUUAUUUUUUUUUUCAGGUUAGCCAUGCAAUUCGUACAUAUAGAAGUGCAAUCUCUGUUUAUGAAUCAACUACAUGGAGCCAUAUCAAAGACCAUGUACAUUUUCAUAUUGGACGGUAAGUUUUAAACGUUGUGAAUGUACGUCUAAGGCGUGAUGUUUAGGAAAUUGUGGUCUAAGACUUGCUAUGAAAUUACCUUUUCAGGUGGUACGCACUUGUUGGGAUGCAUGAUGUUGCAGUUAGAAAUAUGCUCAAAGUACUGGACUGUGGCAACCAAUCCAAGGCAACCCAAGAGAUUUUUCUCAGAGACUUUUUCGAGAUUGUUAAGGUGCCUAGCUUAUACCUGCUGUUUUAUACGCUUUACUGAAGCUGCACAGAGAAUAAUAGAGUGCUUCCACUAGUUACCCCUGGUCUUUAUUCUUUGUUCUUUGACUAUGCAAAAUAACUUCUUACUUUUUGUCAUUCUGAAGAAAACUGGAAUGAAGCACGAGGUGGUGGGACUUCAACUACCAUUUAUUAAUAUGUCGUCUCUUCAAGUUAUAUAUGAAGACCAUCGCACUUAUGCAUCUCAAGCUUCUGUAAGUUGCAUACUCACUCUUUGGAAGUAUGUACAUAUUGCUACCCAUCAUAAUCUUCCUCGGAUGUUUUGCCUUUUUACUUCAUUAUGAACAGCAUAACUGAUAUCAGUAUUUCUGGUUAAUUUUUUUGGAUUAAUUGCAAAUAAUACUUGCAAAUAAAUAAUAUUUGUGCAUCCCUGAUUUUUUUUCUUUUUCAUUAUUGGUGAAUUUGCAUCUGUUGUUUACUAAUAUUAUUUACGUCUCAUGGUCAGGUUCUUGUACAAGAGAGCAUCUGGCAAUCACUGGAGGAUGAUAUCAUUCCAUCAUUAAAUUCUGGCAAGUCAAACUGGCUGGAAUUACAGUCAAAGCUACUACCAAAGAAAUACAAGGAAUCCAAUGUUUGUGUGGCUGGAGGUGAAUUUACAUCUUUUUCAUUAAUGUUGUUAGCUGCAUUCGAUGUUUACCUUAAUCAUGGAGCUUCUUCAUUAUCCUGCAUUUAACUUAUGCACACUAAUACGCAAAAUCUGGUCUACCUUAUCGUACCAGCAGGAGGACAUUUCAAUUUGAUCUAGACAUGCUUUGAUGUUGAAAAAAUGUAUAUUUUUGGAACGCCCAGCUGUGAUAAUUCUGCACGGAGUAUAAGAUUUCCUCAUUAGUCAUAUCAUAGCAUCUGUAAAUGUUAUCAGUUGUGCCUCUGCCAAGGAAGAGGGAUUUCUUAGUUUGUCAAUAAAUUCAGGCCAUAUUGUUGAGGAGGACAUGAUAUUCUGCUGUAGUAUGUUUGAAAAUGUUUGUAAUUGUGGAUUUUUACUUGUACUUCUUUGUUAUCAGAGUCAGUGAAAGUGGAUCUGGAGUUUAGGAAUCCCUUGCUAAUCUCUACUUCUAUAACAAGCGUAUCUCUCAUCUGUGAACUUACCUCAAAUUCUGAUGACCUAAAAGGUAAGCUGUUUAUAAUAUUGAUGUUCACUUUGGAAUUGUUCUACGUCCUUCGGUUUAUAGAUGUGAAACUUAUUUCAAACGUUUGGACUUUGUAAAGUUGAUAAACACCCAAGUAGCAUAAGCUUGGGGACCGAGAGUUCCGCAGAACAUAAUCAGUAAGCAGCUAAUCUCUUCAUUCAGGUUUCUUUUAACUUUGUUGAUCUACAAUUGAAUGAUUAAGCUGCAACGUCUUUACCAACAAUACUACAGGGGUACAACAUCUGGUUUUUCUUCUUUCACUUUGUCUGAAGUGGACUUAACAUUAGGCGGAGGCGAGAAAAAACUGGUGAGUCUGCUAAACUGAAAACAUAGAUCGAUUGACACGUUUUAAUAUUUUUACUCUUUCUAUAUCUGACAUUAUUCAUCUUCUUGUGUAUAUAUAGAGAAACACGUUUAAUUUUUUUUGAUGUUUCACUUGUGAUUGCUGGCUUUACCUCAUUGCUACUAACCUUGAUUGUAGUCACAGUUUUGAAUUGCCUUGGUCCUUUUUAACUUCUGACUAUUAUAUCUUCCGUUUGCUUACUGUAUCCUUUGGUGAAUCUCUGAUGGUUUUAUCAGCUGCUGUUUACGUUUGACUUAUUGUCAUAACUUUUUUCUUCUAGGUGAGACUCACGGUUACCCCCAGUGAAGAAGGUAUCCUCAAAAUUGUCGGUGUAAGGUGGAGGUUGUCUGGUUCUGUUGUAGGUGUGCAUUACUUCCAAUCUGCCCCUGGAAAGGCAAAAACUAACAAGGGAAGACGGAAAAACAAACUUACUCCCACUGAUGCCUUGAAAUUUUUGGUCAUCAAGGUGCAAACUUUUCCUCUACGGUUUAAUUUUGUAAGAUUUGCUACGACGUCUAACAUAAUGAAAUUUUGACUGUGCAGAGUCUACCCAGGCUUUUGGGUUCAAUUGAUCAUCUGCCUGAGAAAUUGUAUGCUGGAGAUCUACGUUAUCUUGUUUUAGAGUUAAAAAACAAGUCGGAAUUCCCGAUAAAGGUAGUUUUCGUUUAUGAUCAACCCUUAUCAUUCAUAUUCUCUACCGUUUAGCCAGUAAAAUUUAUUUUUGUUCUGUUAUUGUGUAUUAAUUUAGUUUGUCAUUGUCUGGCUUAUCUACUUAUUCUUGCUUGAUUACCGAAUAUUGUGAUGCACUAAGCUAUUCUCUGGAUUAUUUUUGAGCUUUAAAAGUCUGUCUGUCCUUGUAGAAUCUUAAAAUGAAGAUUAGCCAUCCAAGAUUUGUAAAUCCUGGAAAUCAUGAAGAAGAGGUGACAACGGAGUUUCCAGAUUGCUUAAAGAAGGGCCAUGAACAAAAUUUUGUGAAGAGUGAAACAAGUAGUGUAUUUUCAUUUCCAAAGGUCCGUGGCUAACCUUUUUAUUCAAGCCUCCAGGUAAAUGUGCAUGUCAGGUUAUUCUAACAUGGUUCUGAAUGUUGCUCUUUUUCAGGAUGUGUCACUGCAAGGAGAUAAAUCUUUGAGGUGGCCUCUCUGGCUUCGAGCUGCCAUCCCAGGAACGAUAUCUUUGUAUUUCACAAUAUACUAUGAGAUGGAAAAUGUAUCAAGCAUCAUGAAGUAUCGCACCCUAAGGAUGCAUUAUAAUUUAAAGGUGAUGAAUCUCUAGGCUGGUUGUUUCUACCUUCAUUAUGUUAUAGGCAAUAUUUGCAUUGACCAACCAAUCUGAACCAUUUCUAUAUCGUACAUUUUUAUAUAGGUUUUGCCAUCUCUAGAGACCUCGUUCGAAAUCACUCCCUCUCCAUCAAAGUUGCAAGAAUGUCUUGUGCGUAUGGAUAUACUGAACCGUGCGAAUUCAGAUUCUUUCCAAAUUCAUCAGUUGUCAACAGUUGGGUGUCGGUGGGGUAUCUCCUUACUUGAGCGUGUUGAUACAAUCUUACCUUCCAAGUCUCUGCUUCCCGGGCAAGCUUUAUCAUGUCACUUCAUGAUUAAGGUCGCUAUUAGCUUAAAAUGUUCAUUUAGUAGCUAGUUGGUCUUUCUCUUUUCCAUGUCUGAAAUUAGAAUAUUGUUUAAAUUUCAGGAUAACAGAAGAUCAGCGACUGAAGAAGAGAAAACCAUGUCCAUUCCUCCCAGCCAAACCGACGUAAAACUGUUUGCUCAGGAUGACGACGAAAAACUUUUUGAUAUCGUUAACUCACCUUUAGCAAGCUUCCAUGAAAGUGAAAGGUCAUGUCAAGAAACCUCAGAUCAGGUAAGCGAAAUCCUCUUUCAGGGACAUAUAUAUAUCUUAUGCGGUAGAGAUGUUUUUUCAAGGGAACAUUCAUUUUCUCUUAAACAUAGCAUCAUCACUGGUAACUUUCUAUCAUCAGAAACCAUAAUGAACUCGUGUUUGUAUGAUUGAAACAGUUAAGUACCAAUACCGUUGACUUCAUUCUAAUCUCUCACCCAGCAAAAUCCAGCAAUUCAUCAGGAGUGGCAGAUAUACCAAAGAUUCUGUCUCACCAUUCAUGUCACAAUAGGUAAAGAGUAUUCACGUAACAGUAUAUUUUCUUCAGCUUUGAAACCUAUUUUUAACUAACGUGUAAUCAUUCGAUUACAGAAUCAGGAGCUCAAACCCGCUAUCGUGGUCCCUAGACGGUCCCCAAGCCAUAUACCACGACUUCUCGACCUCCUUGUGUGAAAUUCAACUAAAAUUAGUAAUCAGAAACACAUCUGAUGGAAUAUCAUCUGUGAGCUUCAACACCAUUGAUUCCGUACAAGACGUAGCAACACCAACUCCUUCCGCUGGAAACCAAUCCGGGUGGCGCUACGUGCCAGAUAUAACAGAGGAAAUGAAACUGACUUCAGAUGUCAUGGGGAGCCGUCUAGGGAAACCUCCAUCGUCCAUGGAAAGCUCACCUCCUUUCAUAUGGUCAGGUUUAAGUUCCACAAAGGUCGAAAUCCAGCCAUUGUCAACAACGGAGAUCCCGCUGCAGAUAUCGGUUUUCGCUCCAGGUAUCUACAAUCUCUCUUCGUAUAACUUACCUGGGAGCGCUCCGGGCGUGAAGAUGCAUCAUCAGGGACAUGCCAAGGCUAUCCUUAUUACCUUACUGUUCUUCAGUCUCAGUGAACUUUCAUAGCUCUCUCUGUAUUCUGUGUAUCCAUUUUGAUGGUUUACGUCUGAGUUUUCAAUUUUGAUUGUAGCAAAUUGUUGUCAAGAAAUGUUUUUUCGGUAGGAGAAAGAUUAAUUUUACA
rnacentral:lncRNA from 1 species